AUCAACUUUCGAUGGUAGGAUAGAGGCCUACCAUGGUGGUAACGGGUAACGGGGUGUUAGGGCACGACACCGGAGAGGGAGCCUGAGAAACGGCUACCACAUCCAAGGAUGGCAGCAGGCGCGCAAAUUACCCAAUCCCGACACGGGGAGGUAGUGACAAUAAAUAACAAUACGGGGUUCUUUAGGAUCUCGUAAUUGGAAUGAGUACAAUUUAAAUCUCUUAACGAGGAACAAUUGGAGGGCAAGUCUGGUGCCAGCAGCCGCGGUAAUUCCAGCUCCAAUAGCGUAUAUUAAAGUUGUUGCAGUUAAAAAGCUCGUAGUUGAAUUUCGGGAUCAAUUUAUUGGUCGUGCUAUUGUACGUACUGGUAUUAUUGAUUCCUACCUUCUGACGAACCAUGAUGUCAUUAAUUUGGUGUCUUGGGGAAUCAGGACUGUUACUUUGAAAAAAUUAGAGUGUUUAAAGCAGGCUCACGCUUGAAUACAUUAGCAUGGAAUAACGAAAUAGGACGUUUGAUUCUAUUUUGUUGGUUUCUAGGAUCGACGUAAUGAUUAGUAGGGAUAGUUGGGGGCAUUAGUAUUCAAUUGUCAGAGGUGAAAUUCUUGGAUUUAUUGAAGACUAACUACUGCGAAAGCAUUUGCCAAGGAUGUUUUCAUUAAUCAAGAACGAAAGUUAGGGGAUCGAAGACGAUCAGAUACCGUCGUAGUCUUAACCAUAAACUAUGCCGACUAGGGAUCGGAUGAUGUUAAUUUUUUAAUGACUCAUUCGGCGCCUUACGGGAAACCAAAGUGUUUGGGUUC
rnacentral:rRNA from 1 species